AGAGUUUGAUCAUGGGGCUCAGAUUGGACGCUGGCGGCAGGCUUAACACAUGCAAGUCGAACGGUAACAGGAAGGAAGCUUGCUUUCUUUGGCUGACGAGUGGCGGACGGGUGAGUAAUGCUUGGGAAUCUGGCUUAUGGAGGGGGAUAACUUACGGGAAACUGUAGCUAAUACCGCGUAAUAUCUUCGGAUUAAAGGGUGGGACCGUAAGGCCACCUGCCAUAAGAUGAGCCCAAGUGGGAUUAGGUAGUUGGUGGGGUAAAGGCCUACCAAGCCGACGAUCUCUAGCUGGUCUGAGAGGAUGACCAGCCACACUGGAACUGAGACACGGUCCAGACUCCUACGGGAGGCAGCAGUGGGGAAUAUUGCACAAUGGGGGGAACCCUGAUGCAGCCAUGCCGCGUGAAUGAGGAAGGCCUUCGGGUUGUAAAGUUCUUUCGGUGAUGAGGAAGGCGGUUGUUUUAAUAGAACAAUCGAUUGACGUUAGUCACAGAAGAAGCACCGGCUAACUCCGUGCCAGCAGCCGCGGUAAUACGGAGGGUGCGAGCGUUAAUCGGAAUGACUGGGCGUAAAGGGCACGCAGGCGGUGACUUAAGUGAGAUGUGAAAGCCCCGGGCUUAACCUGGGAAUUGCAUUUCAUACUGGGUCGCUAGAGUAUUUUAGGGAGGGGUAGAAUUCCACGUGUAGCGGUGAAAUGCGUAGAGAUGUGGAGGAAUACCGAAGGCGAAGGCAGCCCCUUGGGAAUAUACUGACGCUCAUGUGCGAAAGCGUGGGGAGCAAACAGGAUUAGAUACCCUGGUAGUCCACGCUGUAAACGCUGUCGAUUUGGGGAUUGGGCUUUAAGCUUGGUGCCCGUAGCU
rnacentral:rRNA from 1 species